CAGCCGCCGCGGUAAUACAGAGGGUGCGAGCGUUAAUCGGAUUUACUAGGCGUAAAGCGUGCGUAGGCGGCUUUUUAAGUCGGAUGUGAAAUCCCUGAGCUUAACUUAGGAAUUGCAUUCGAUACUGGGAAGCUAGAGUAUGGGAGAGGAUGGUAGAAUUCCAGGUGUAGCGGUGAAAUGCGUAGAGAUCUGGAGGAAUACCGAUGGCGAAGGCAGCCAUCUGGCCUAAUACUGACGCUGAGGUACGAAAGCAUGGGGAGCAAACAGGAUUAGAUACCCCCGUAGUCCCUGUCUCUUAUAC
rnacentral:rRNA from 1 species